AUCUAUACUGUGGUGCUUAUUCCAUUAAAUACUGUCCAUUAGUAUUGUAAUUGAAUCUGCUUGUUACUUAAAUGCUAAACUCAAUUCUGUAAUUCAAUAGGUGCACCUCUCUGAGAAACAUAAGAGACAAUGAGGAAAAGGAUUCAGCAUUCCGUGGAAUUUGUACCAUGAUCAGUGUGAAUCCCAGUGGCGUAAUCCAAGAUUUUAUAUUUUUUUGUGAUGCCGUUGCAUCAUGGAUUAACCCAAAAGAUGAUCUCAGAGACAUGUUCUGUAAGAUCCUUCAUGGAUUUAAAAAUCAAGUUGGUGAUGAAAAUUGGAGGCGUUUCUCUGACCAGUUUCCUCUUCCCUUAAAAGAGCGUCUUGCAGCUUUUUAUGGUGUUUAAUCUAAUACACUUAAGCUGCAGUCCCAAAAUUAGGGGUCCUUCAGUCUUGGAGACUAUGAGGGAGCCUCUGCACCCAGGGAAAAUGUUACCCUUUACAGGGGGGAAGGGUAAACCAGUAGGGAAUACAGUACAAUCCCAACCCUACUGGGAGGGGCGGGAGGGAGGUGUUGCCGUCACUGUAUUAAGUCGAUGUUGGGAAACGUUUUAACAUCUGGAGUCUUUGUGGGUGGAAAUAUGUCU
rnacentral:sRNA from 1 species